UACGGGGGGGGGCUAGCGUUGUUCGGAAUUACUGGGCGUAAAGGGCGCGUAGGCGGUCUGCUAAGUUGGAUGUGAAAACUCUGGGCUUAACCCAGAGCCUGCAUUCAAUACUGACAGGCUAGAGUUCUGGAGGGGAUAGCGGAAUUCCUGGUGUAGCGGUGAAAUGCGUAGAUAUCAGGAGGACACCGUGGCGAAGGCGGCUAUCUGGACAGAAGUCUGGACGCU
rnacentral:rRNA from 1 species